GACGAACGCUGGCGGCGUGCUUAACACAUGCAAGUCGAACGGAAAGGCCCUGCUUGCAGGGUACUCGAGUGGCGAACGGGUGAGUAGCACGUGGGUGAUCUGCCCUGCACUUCGGGAUAAGCCUGGGAAACUGGGUCUAAUACCGGAUAGGAGCCAUUUUUAGGGUGAUGGUUGGAAAGUUUUUUCGGUGUAGGAUGAGCUCGCGGCCUAUCAGCUUGUUGGUGGGGUAAUGGCCUACCAAUGCGGCGACGGGUAGCCGGCCUGAGAGGGUGGACGGCCACAUUGGGACUGAGACACGGCUCAGACUCCUACGGGAGGAAGAAGUGGGGAAUAUUGCAAAAUGGGCGCAAGCCUGAUGCAGCGACGCCGCGUGGGGGAUGACGCCCUUCGGGUUGUAAACUCCUUUCGCUAGGGACGAAGCUUUUUGUGACGGUAACUAGAUAAGAAGCACCGGCUAACUACGUG
rnacentral:rRNA from 1 species